UCUGCACAUUGUUAGAACUUGGAAUUAAGACCACCACUGACUGGUUGAUGAACUCUCAAAUGUUGGUAGUUUGCUACUGAGGGGCAAGAUUUUCUGCUAACACCAUGGGUCUUUGGCUCAUUGAGUGGCGCUUGAUAGUAAUUGUUACUACAAAU